UACGUAGGGUGCGAGCGUUGCCCGGAAUUAUUGGGCGUAAAGAGCUUGUAGGCGGUUUGUCGCGUCUGCUGUGAAAAUCCGGGGCUCAACCCCGGACUUGCAGUGGGUACGGGCAGACUAGAGUGUGGUAGGGGAGACUGGAAUUCCUGGUGUAGCGGUGAAAUGCGCAGAUAUCAGGAGGAACACCGAUGGCGAAGGCAGGUCUCUGGGCCACUACUGACGCUGAGAAGCGAAAGCGUGGGGAGCGAACAGG
rnacentral:rRNA from 1 species